CGGCAGUGUUGGCAUCAAAAUCUCGAGCAUGCGCAUAGAAUGCUUACUUACACUUUAGUGAAAGGUGCCAAUUCUAAUGGAUGUAAUCAUGCUAUGUGCAUUGAUUGAAUGCACAGACUGGAGGAGCAGUGACGGAAAAGAGAGUCCGGGAUGCUUGUUGGUCCACCCAUCCGCAGGAGACAAUGUUGGUGUGCUCCACCUCUGCCAGAGGAUUCUGACUCCAAGGACAAGAGAGGAUAUGCUGUUGAUGAUGAUGAUAAUGAGGGGCUGGGACUACCAGAGUCCAUCAUUCCAGCAGUGACAAUGACAACCUUCCUUACUCCAGCCUGAUGACUCAAGAUACCAAAUCCAUAAUGUGGUGACAGGUGUUUUUCAGACCAAGAUGUAGGCCCUGAUGGGAAUUUUUUUUCAGGACAUGCCAUAGGCCAAGUAUGUUGCCUUCAGGGAGAUCACAUGAGAGAUCAUAUUCAUGUAUACCUCUGCUUUACUGCUGCACAUGAUUAUGUUGUUUGUGCCACUUGUACACAAACAAUUUACAUCCCAUCACAUGUGCAAAAUGUAGACGUUAAGACAUCUGACCCUUGCUGCAUGCACCUUGCAGCAUCUUUUAUGCCAACUUUGAAGACCAUAUUAUUUUGGUAACGUGCACAUGAGACAGUUUCACUCAGACAUGCAUACCCUACGUUUGUAUGUGACAGCUUUUUCAGAUUUGCUUUUUUUACUACCAGGGUCAUAAUGUAACCAUUUCUCAUCCCUGUUAUAGCUUUUGGCUAUGUGUUUCACAUCUGCAUGCCAUAUGCAUACGUUUAUGUGUGCCUUUGUGUACUAUGGCAUCAUAGGCCUGUAGGUAUACUGCGAUUGUACAACUCUAUUACCAUGAUAGACUAUCACAUAUGUGUGAUUCAUAUCCACAACUGUGCUGUGAUGUUUCCACCUGUGUGGGAUCCUGACUGGUGUUUUGUGUAUUCUCCUGACAAACUUUUCAUGCUUCCUGCAUACCUGUUAUGUUCAUUUGUUGUGUUUAUUCAAUAUUAUCUAAUGUAUCUCUAUCACCAUGAGCAGUCUAGUUGGCAAGUUAACAUUGCAUGCCACUGUUAGAAGUAUGUGUGCUGAUUGUUCUGGAUUUUCUACUUGUACGAUAUGAUUGCAUAACACAUAUCUACACCAUCUGUCUUGCCCCUGGCAUGUAAUGCUUCCUGUGAUGAUAGCAUCCCAACUCUCCUGUCCAACUAUAUGGUGCAUAAACUUAUUUGGUUAUUACAUAGCUGCUUAAUGCAUUUACUGCAUUAGUGUUAUUAGGCUCUGUGCAUAGAUGUCUGCCUCUUAAAUACAGGGUUGGGGGUUAAAAUCUGACCUUUGCUUUACUGGUCACACAUUUCCUUCUGUGGAUUUGAUUGGCCUUACUUUUGAUUGGGUUACACUUUUUCUGCCGACAGCCUAAUGGAUGAUAAAGUUUGCUGUUCAUUGUGGUGUACUGCAAUGUUGACAAUCCCCUGUUAGUGAUCCCAGUCACAUUCCUACCAUCAGUUGUACUCCAUUUUGAAUCUUUUGGAAUCCAGCCCUUAAUCACAGGACCUCCAGGAUUCCAUGCUGUUGUCAUUACCUCUUGGCUAGCAAAGAGCAUCUACACAGCUAAAAUCUAGCAUGCUGACUUUAAGGUCAAAUUUUACACACACACACACACACACACACACUAGAAAGAUCCUACAAUGGCAUUGUUUGAGUCAUGUAAUAUGAUGGGAAAAAUCCUGACCUUUGUUGUGCACUUGAACCCAAGACCUCUAGAAUUAAGUGCAUUUGUCAUUGGUCUGGACUAUCAAAGAGCCUCUGUACACCUGUGUUCUCCAUUCCCCUUUAAAACCCAUUUUCAUUUCAGCUAGGAAACUCCUAGCAUCAUGACUUCAAGGUUAAAUUAUGCCAGCAUUCUCUCACACACGCACACACACACACACACA